ACAAUUUAAAAAUUAUUUUCGGCUAAACCGUGACCAGUUCAUCGAAGUGCAUGAGAUCAUCAAGAAAGAAAUUGACGCAGAAGGAUGUAACGCUACAAGGCCCAUCGGGACGGAAAAGAAACUAAGUGUAUUUCUAAGAUUCAUGGCAACAGGAAACAGUUACAAAAGUAUGGCGUACAGCUACAGAAUGGGUGAUCGAACAGAAAAUUAUUUUAACUCCGCAGGAGCGAUACCUUGGCAGAGGGAAAGUGUUGCAAGAGGGAAAUAUUGAGAUAUGUACAGUUGAUGGUAAUUUUUUGGACAUUUUUUUCAGAAAAUUCUCUGUAGCUUUGUUAAUAAUUAUUGCAAGAUUACCCUAUUUAUAAUAAAUGAAUAAACUUACCACUUUUCAUUC